rnacentral:rRNA from 1 species
CCUACGGGAGGCAGCAGUGGGGAAUUUUGGACAAUGGGCGCAAGCCUGAUCCAGCCAUGCCGCGUGUGGGAAGAAGGCCUUCGGGUUGUAAACCACUUUUGUCAGGGAAGAAACGGUCUGAACUAAUACUUUGGACUAAUGACGGUACCUGAAGAAUAAGCACCGGCUAACUACGUGCCAGCAGCCGCGGUAAUACGUAGGGUGCAAGCGUUAAUCGGAAUUACUGGGCGUAAAGCGUGCGCAGGCGGCUUUGCAAGACAGAUGUGAAAUCCCCGGGCUCAACCUGGGAACUGCAUUUGUGACUGCAUGGCUAGAGUACGGUAGAGGGGGAUGGAAUUCCGCGUGUAGCAGUGAAAUGCGUAGAUAUGCGGAGGAACACCGAUGGCGAAGGCAAUCCCCUGGACCUGUACUGACGCUCAUGCACGAAAGCGUGGGGAGCAAACAGGAUUAGAUACCCUGGUAGUCCACGCCCUAAACGAUGUCAACUGGUUGUUGGGAGGGUUUCUUCUCAGUAACGAAGCUAACGCGUGAAGUUGACCGCCUGGGGAGUACGGCCGCAAGGUUGAAACGUCAAAGGGAAUUGACGGCNGNGAGNGCGACGGACGACGACGAGGGAGGAGG